GACCACGCAGAGUGGGGCUUGGCCCCUGGUCCUAGGCAGGGCAGCCGAGAAAGUGACCUUUCCCUGCCUGCCUGCCCCUGCCUCUGCUUUCUCUGGGGUGCUGAAGAAGGAUACUUUAGGGGGAGCUCACGUUUUAAAAAAGACAUCUUCUUCCUGGCUAUGGCCCAUUUCUCCUGAUGGAGACAGUCCACAUUGGCAUUAAGCAUGAAAGCAAGAGGAGACUUGACAGAAAAGAAAACGUCAGAGGCCUGCCAGCCAGACUACUGUGGGGACAGGAACCAGCAAGGAGGAGCAAGAAGCAGGGCCUGCUGUGCCCAGGAAGGAGGACGAGCAGGGAUGCAGCUCAUCUUCGCCCCGCACGGGGCGCCACCCGCGUGGCUUCAGGCCUGGCCAACAAGCCACAAGCCAGGGCCGAAGGAUCUGCAGAAAUAGUGGUGUUUCUUGGCAGCCCCAGCACUCUCUAAUCCCCUCACACAGAGUGACUCUGGGACAAGGCACUUCAGCAGCUCCGGUUGACAAACGGGGGUCAAGGCUGCCUGUUAUAUCUCACCGAUCUGCUUUUGAGGGAAACGUCCACCAGACAGAUACAUUAUCUGGAGAACAGCGCGGGGAGCGAAGCUGAUUUACUCAGGCCAGCCCCACAAGGACGUGUGAGGAGGGGCCGCGGAGCUUGGGUGGCUGGGGCAUGAGCUCAACGGAAAGCAUAAUCUCUCUUAAACGAAGCUUUCAUCACAUCACUCGCCUGAGCGAGCGCCUGCAAGGGCUCUGCCGCUCAGGGAUCAGAGCUAAACACCUGCACACUCCUCUGGCUGCAAAUCCCCUACCGAUCCCCACGCCGUGCCCUUCCCACACCAACAAGAGGCCACCAGAGUCUGAGGCUGCCCAGCACAGUCUGAAGCGAUUUAAACUUUCUAGGCCUCAGUUCCUUCUUCUCUAAAAUGGAGAGAAUAGGGGCGCCCGGGUGGCUCAGUCGGUUAGGCAUCUGCCUUCGGCUCAGGUCAUGAUCUUAGAGUCCUGGGAUCGAACCCUGCAUUGGGCUCCUUGUUCAGCAGGGAGCCUGCUUCUCCCUCUGCUUGUGCUCCUGCUCGCUCUCUCAAA
rnacentral:lncRNA from 1 species